GUUAACAAAUAACAACCAAAUUAAAAUGUUUAACAGAUGAAUAGCAGUUGGUUCACGGAGGAAGACAUGAACAACUUUUUCAACAAUCUUUCAUCAGAGAAAUUGUAUACUGACCAAAUGCAAGCUUCAGAAGACAUAAUUGUGGUCAAGGAAAAGAGCACAAAUCUUUCAAGUAAUAUGGAAGACGAUGGCCAAAUUCUCGAUAAUGAGAUUGCUGCGGAAGAAAUUGAAAAACUAUCUAAAAACGAAGAAGAGCCUGAGAUGGUGGUACUGUGUGAACCUAUUCGUUCAUUAGUUUUAUACACUCCAUAGAGCUCACAGGAGCAGCAAGAACCCAACCAACAGACACCGCCUGCAUCUGAAACAAUUUCCACACAUGAAAAAGAUGGCAAGGAAAAGCUGGCUGCUGCACCUUCUGUGAGGAAAUCUCCAAGGCUACAACCUAUAAAAGAAGAUGAAGAAGAUAUCUGUAUUCAUAUUGUCGACCCUGAGGGAGGAGCAAAUGCAGAGAAGGGACCAGCAGAAAAACCACAAAGAAAAGUAAGGGCAACAAAGAAUGAAGGUGUCAAUAAAAGAAAAGCCGUAUAAGAGGUACAUAGUUACACUAUAACAGUACUUGUUCAUUGCUCAUUCCAUUUUACAACAGUAGACAUACAAAAUAUACAUGAUUUCCAUUGUAUAGUACAGUUACACAUUUGUAAAAACAUUUAAAUG